UAAGGAAUAUUGGACAAUGGGCGCAAGCCUGAUCCAGCAAUGCCGCGUGCAGGAUGAAGGCCUUCGGGUUGUAAACUGCUUUUGUACGGAGCGAAAAGGUCUGCCCUAAUACGGUGGGCUCAUGACGGUACCGUAAGAAUAAGCACCGGCUAACUACGUGCCAGCAGCCGCGGUAAUACGUAGGGUGCGAGCGUUAAUCGGAAUUACUGGGCGUAAAGCGUGCGCAGGCGGUUAUAUAAGACAGAUGUGAAAUCCCCGGGCUCAACCUGGGACCUGCAUUUGUGACUGUAUAGCUAGAGUACGGUAGAGGGGGAUGGAAUUCCGCGUGUAGCAGUGAAAUGCGUUGAUAUGCGGAGGAACACCGAUGGCGAAGGCAAUCCCCUGGACCUGUACUGACGCUCAUGCACGAAAGCGUGGGGAGCAAACA
rnacentral:rRNA from 1 species